GAUAUUCCGGAAAAUGAAGAAGCAAAGACAGCAGACGAGUCAGCAUGCAUAUGAAGAAGAAUCGAGGAAGGUCGAAGAUGGCUUUUUACGAGAUGGAAAAAAAGCAAUCAAGAUUAAUUCUAUCUCGAAUGUUGCAAAUAUCGAGCGAUUGGAAACAUCGGAAUAUCAGAGCAGACGAAGCGAACAUACGAUAAAGUAAAUGUCCCAUAUGACUGAUACAGUACUUCCGUUCUGGCGCCAUGUUCAAGUCGGAGAAGCUUCUUUUCCAAAACUUCAUAUAGACUAAAGCAUAAACACAAGACUGCUGGAUCAAUGAGCAUCUAGCAUAAUGUCGCCAUAUUGAUUUACAUAAGAUGCUCAUUGAUUUAGCGGUCUUAUAUUAUACUCUGUUAUGCAUUUCAUGUGUGAAGCUCUUAACACAUUCUUCAUAAAUUUAAAAUUAAAGAGAAAAAUAUAACAAAUAACAUGUGA
rnacentral:misc_RNA from 1 species